rnacentral:rRNA from 1 species
UACGUAGGGGGCAAGCGUUGUCCGGAUUUAUUGGGCGUAAAGAGCGUGUAGGCGGCCAGGCAGGUCCGUUGUGAAAACUCGAGGCUCAACCUCGAGACGUCGAUGGAAACCGUCUGGCUAGAGUCCGGAAGAGGAGAGUGGAAUUCCUGGUGUAGCGGUGAAAUGCGCAGAUAUCAGGAAGAACACCUAUGGCGAAGGCAGCUCUCUGGGACGGUACUGACGCUGAGACGCGAAAGCGUGGGGAGCGAACAGG